UCCGUAGGCGGGCAAUUAAGUCAGAGGUGAAAUCCCACAGCUCAACUGUGGAACUGCCUUAGAUACUGGUUGUCUUGAGCUAUAGUGAAGUAGAUAGAAUAUGUAGUGUAGCGGUGAAAUGCAUAGAUAUUACAUAGAAUACCGAUUGCGAAGGCAGUCUACUAACUGUAUACUGACGCUAAUGGACGAAAGCGUGGGGAGCGAACAGGAUUAGAUACCCUGGUAGUCC
rnacentral:rRNA from 1 species